GUGGCAUUACACAAUGUUAGUUGUGCGUUCCUUGGCUACAGGGGACGCAGCAUACGGCUCAGUAACACGUAGUCAACCUGCCCUGGAGACGCGGACAAACCCGGGAAACUGGGGCCUAUCCGCGAUAGAUGACCUCAUCUGGAAGGAGAGGUCGUCCAAAAGGGCGCAUGGGUAUGCUCUGUGCGCAUCGCUCCAGGAUGGGACUGCGGCCGAUCAGGCUGUUGGCGGGGUAAUGGCCCACCAAACCUGUAACCGGUACGGGCUUUGAGAGAAGGAGCCCGGAGAUGGACACUGAGACAAGGGUCCAGGCCCUACGGGGCGCAUCAGGCGCGAAAACUUCGCAAUGCGCGAAAGCGUGACGAGGCUAGUCCGAGUGCUUCCUGCUAAAGGGGGCUUUUCUCGGCUGUAAAUAGGCCGGGGAAUAAGGGGAGGGCAAGUCUGGUGUCAGCA
rnacentral:rRNA from 1 species